rnacentral:rRNA from 1 species
ACAUAAGUAACGAUAAAGCGGGUGAAAAGCCCGCUCGCCGGAAGACCAAGGGUUCCUGUCCAACGUUAAUCGGGGCAGGGUGAGUCGACCCCUAAGGCGAGGCCGAAAGGCGUAGUCGAUGGGAAACGGGUUAAUAUUCCCGUACUUGGUGUUACUGCGAAGGGGGGACGGAGAAGGCUAUGUUGGCCGGGCGACGGUUGUCCCGGUUUAAGCGUGUAGGUGUGUGUUCCAGGUAAAUCCGGUUCACUUUAACACUGAGGCGUGACGACGAGGCACUACGGUGCUGAAGCAACAAAUGCCCUGCUUCCAGGAAAAGCCUCUAAGCAUCAGGUAACAUCAAAUCGUACCCCAAACCGACACAGGUGGUCAGGUAGAGAAUACCAAGGCGCUUGA